GGCGCACGGGUGAGUAAUAUAUAGAUAACGUGCCUCUUAGUCUGGGAUAGCCAUUGGAAACGAUGAUUAAUACCGGAUACUCCUUCUCUAUCUAAUUAGAGUCGGGAAAGUUUUUUCGCUAAGAGAUCGGUCUAUAUCCUAUCAGUUAGUUGGUGAGGUAACGGCUCACCAAGGCAAUGACAGGUAGCGGGUUUGAGAGGAUGAUCCGCCACACUGGUACUGAGACACGGACCAGACUCCUACGGGAGGCAGCAGUGAGGAAUAUUGCACAAUGGGGGAAACCCUGAUGCAGCAACGCCGCGUGGAGGAUGACGCAUUUCGGUGUGUAAACUCCUUUUAUAUGUCAAGAAAAUGACGGUAGCAUAUGAAUAAGCACCGGCUAACUCCGUGCCAGCAGCCGCGGUAAUACGGAGGGUGCAAGCGUUAUUCGGAAUCACUGGGCGUAAAGGACGC
rnacentral:rRNA from 1 species